UGAUGAUGUGGCUGACAUGGAACUGAGAGGAUCCCUGAAAAUGGUUGAUCAAGCAGAAAAUGAAGAUGAUCUGGCUCAAGCUGUGGAAUGCUGUGACUCAUGGAGAUACCAAAUUGAAGGACUUCCAAACCCAGUCAACAUGGAAAACAAAGAUGCAUUUGUGAAAAGUGCAGUACUUUUCCAUGUCCUCAUGCAACGGAAGAGCUGCUACGAUCAGUUGGCUGAGGGUUUGAAAUACUAUGGGGUUCUUCCACUCAUGAAAGAAACCCC